CGAGUCCGAGUCUCCACGGAGACGAAGUGGCGGUCAUCCAGCUUCCUAGAAAAGCUCUAACCACGUUAAUCUUUAGUUGCCUGUACCCGAAACCGACACAGGUAGGGGGGUAGAGAAUACCAAGGGGCGCGAGAUAACUCUCUCUAAGGAACUCGGCAAAAUGACCCCGUAACUUCGGGAGAAGGGGUACCACUGAGAAGUGGUCGCAGUGAAGAGGCCCAGGCGACUGUUUACCAAAAACACAGGUCUCCGCCAAGUCGCAAGACGAAGUAUGGGGGCUGACGCCUGCCCAGUGCCGGAAGGUUAAGGAAGUGGGUUAGGGAUUCGUCCCGAAGCUGACGACUGAAGCCCCGGUGAACGGCGGCCGUAACUAUAACGGUCCUAAGGUAGCGAAAUUCCUUGUCGGGUAAGUUCCGACCCGCACGAAAGGCGUAACGAUCUGGGCGCUGUCUCGGAGAGAGGCUCGGCGAAAUAGGAAUGUCUGUGAAGAUACGGACUACCUGCACCUGGACAGAAAGACCCUAUGAAGCUUUACUGUAGCUUGGAAUUGGGUUCGGGCUUGGUUUGCGCAGGAUAGGUGGGAGGCGAAGAAGAUUUGCUUGUGGGUGAAUCUGAGCCAACGGUGAGAUACCACUCUAACCAGGCUAGAAUUCUAACUUCAACCCGUCAACCGGGGGAAGGACAGUUUCAGGUGGGCAGUUUGACUGGGGCGGUCGCCUCCUAAAAGAUAACGGAGGCGCACAAAGGUUCCCUCAGGCUGGUUGGAAAUCAGCCAACGAGUGCAAAGGCAGAAGGGAGCUUGACUGCGAGACCUACAAGUCAAGCAGGGUGGAAACACGGUCUUAGUGAUCCGACGGCACCGAGUGGAAGGGCCGUCGCUCAACGGAUAAAAGUUACUCUAGGACAACAGGCUGAUCUCCCCCAAGAGUUCACAUCGACGGGGAGGUUUGGCACCUCGAUGUCGGCUCAUCGCAACCUGGGGCGGAAGUACGUCCCAAGGGUUGGGCUGUUCGCCCAUUAAAGCGGUACGUGAGCUGGGUUCAGAACGUCGUGAGACAGUUCGGUCCAUAUCCGGUGUAGGCGCAAGAACAUUGAGAGGAGUCUUCCUUAGUACGAGAGGACCGGGAAGAACGCACCGCUGGUGUACCUGUUAUCGUGCCAACGGUAAACGCAGGGUAGCCAAGUGCGGAGUGGAUAACCGCUGAAAGCAUCUAAGUGGGAAGCCCACCUCAAGAUGAGUGUUCUCAUGGAGUAAUCCAGUAAGGUCACGGGAAGACGACCCGUUGAUAGGCGGUAGGUGGAAGUUCAGCAAUGGAUGAAGCCGAGCCGUACUAACAGACCGAGGGCUUGAC
rnacentral:rRNA from 1 species